CUCUUAUCAAGAGUGGUGGAGGGAUAGGCCCGAUGAAACCCGGCAACAUUCAACUACAGUUGAAAAUGUGCUAAUUCCUACAGAAUUUUCUGAAAGAUAAGAG
rnacentral:ncRNA from 2 species